rnacentral:rRNA from 1 species
AGAGUUUGAUCAUGGCUCAGGACGAACGCUGGCGGCGUGCUUAACACAUGCAAGUCGAACGAGACGAUUGAAAGCUUGCUUUUGAAAGUCGAGUGGCAAACGGGUGAGUAACGCGUAGACAACCUGCCGUAAAGAUGGGGACAACAGUCCGAAAGGACUGCUAAUACCGAAUGUUGUAAAUCUUCCACAUGGAAGACUUACUAAAGGUGGCCUCUACUUGUAAGCUAUCGCUUUACGAUGGGUCUGCGUCUGAUUAGCUGGUUGGUGGGGUAACGGCCUACCAAGGCGACGAUCAGUAGCCGGUCUGAGAGGAUGAACGGCCACAUUGGAACUGAGACACGGUCCAGACUCCUACGGGAGGCAGCAGUGGGGAAUCUUCCGCAAUGGUCGCAAGCCUGACGGAGCAACGCCGCGUGAGUGAAGAAGGGUUUCGACUCGUAAAGCUCUGUUGUCGGGGACGAACGUGGAGACGGCGAAUAGCCGUUUCCAAUGACGGUACCUGACGAGGAAGCCACGGCUAACUACGUGCCAGCAGCCGCGGUAAUACGUAGGUGGCGAGCGUUGUCCGGAAUUAUUGGGCGUAAAGGGAGCGCAGGCGGGAAGGUAAGUCUAUCUUAAAAGUGCGGGGCUCAACCCCGUGAGGGGAUGGAAACUAUCUUUCUUGAGUGCAGGAGAGGAAAGCGGAAUUCCUAGUGUAGCGGUGAAAUGCGUAGAUAUUAGGAGGAACACCAGUGGCGAAGGCGGCUUUCUGGACUGUAACUGACGCUGAGGCUCGAAAGCGUGGGGAGCGAACAGGAUUAGAUACCCUGGUAGUCCACGCCGUAAACGAUGAAUGCUAGGUGUAGGAGGUAUCGACCCCUUCUGUGCCGGAGUUAACGCAAUAAGCAUUCCGCCUGGGGAGUACGGCCGCAAGGCUGAAACUCAAAGGAAUUGACGGGGGCCCGCACAAGCGGUGGAGUAUGUGGUUUAAUUCGACGCAACGCGAAGAACCUUACCAGGGCUUGACAUUGAGUGAAAGGACAAGAGAUUGUCCCCUCUCUUCGGAGACACGAAAACAGGUGGUGCAUGGCUGUCGUCAGCUCGUGUCGCGAGAUGUUGGGUUAAGUCCCGCAACGAGCGCAACCCCUAUCCUUUGUUGCCAGCACGCAAUGGUGGGAACUCAAAGGAGAC